rnacentral:rRNA from 1 species
GAGGAAUAUUGGGCAAUGCCCGCAAGGGUGACCCAGCAACGCCGCGUGGAGGAUGAAUGUCGUAAGAUUGUAAACUCCUGUUAGAGGGGAAGAAUAGUACCGGUUGGACCGGUAUAUGACUGUACCCUCAGAGAAAGCCCCGGCUAACUACGUGCCAGCAGCCGCGGUAAUACGUAGGGGGCAAGCGUUGUCCGGAUUUACUGGGUGUAAAGGGCGCGCAGGCGGGAUAAAAAGUCAGUGGUGAAAUCCUACAGCUUAACUGUAGAACUGCCUUUGAUACUUUUAUUCUGGAGUUCGGGAGAGGGAGACGGAAUUCCAGGUGUAGUGGUGAAAUACGUAGAUAUCUGGAAGAACACCAGUUGCGAAGGCGGUCUCUUGGUCCGACACUGACGCUGAGGCGCGAAAGCGUGGGGAGCAAACA